UCAAAAGGAGUAGAAGAGAUUAUGGAAAAGAACCAUUACGAGCACUAUGUGGUUAUCCUAAUCAUGUCAUGAAAACACGUACAUCAAGGGAGAGGAAACCAAGUAAAUUCAAGGUCUCCCUGUUUGUACACAAUUUAAGGAAGAUGGUAAAACGUGAAGCAUCAGAGUCAAUCCCCAUGUCCAUUCGUGAAGACGUGGUGGAUACUCAAUCAUUCAAUGUGCUUCAAUCUCUUGUCGCUGAUUAUGUUU